AGUGAACGCUGGCGGUAGGCCUAACACAUGCAAGUCGAACGGCAGCACAGUAAGAGCUUGCUCUUACGGGUGGCGAGUGGCGGACGGGUGAGGAAUACAUCGGAAUCUACUUUUUCGUGGGGGAUAACGUAGGGAAACUUACGCUAAUACCGCAUACGACCUACGGGUGAAAGCAGGGGAUCUUCGGACCUUGCGCGAUUGAAUGAGCCGAUGUCGGAUUAGCUAGUUGGCGGGGUAAAGGCCCACCAAGGCGACGAUCCGUAGCUGGUCUGAGAGGAUGAUCAGCCACACUGGACCUGAGACACGGUCCAGACUCCUACGGGAGGCAGCAGUGGGGAAUAUUGGACAAGAGGCGCAAGCCUGAGCCAGCCAUACCGCGUGGGUGAAGAAGGCCUUCGGGUUGUAAAGCCCUUUUGUUGGGAAAGAAAAGCAGCAGGUUAAUACCCCGCUGUUCUGACGGUACCCAAAGAAUAAGCACCGGCUAACUUCGUGC
rnacentral:rRNA from 1 species